UUAUACACAAGUUAAGCUCGUAAGUGGUAAUGCUACAUUAGACGUCGUGCCACGUUAACCGGCCCACGAACGGCCCGAUCCAGCAUUGCAGUGGAAUUUUCAUUUAUAUACACUAUACAGUACCUACUGUAUCUUGGAGCUGAAAAUUUAUACCCUGAAGGCAGCAAUGCUUGUAUGCUUGAGCGAUAAUAUUCCUUCAUAUUUGUACGAUAUGCACACUUUGAACUGAGGAACACGUUGUGCUAAGUUUACUUUAGUGGGGAAUUUUAUAAGUUCCGUUUAUUAUUACAUUGCCCUCUAAGCAUCCUACCUUUACGCCCUACCAAAAAUCUAUAUCGUUGGUUUCCAAUGUAACCGCACUACCUGCACAUUUUCUUACUGGUUUAAAGCUGUGAGCCUCUAUUCGGAACCACCCAGCCGUAAACUCAACACUAAUACUCGCACUGAAAUUCAGCGCAUCGCAACGGUUACGGACCAUGCCUACGAUUUCGGGAACACGCUGGCAUUGAAAAUAGCGUCGGUUAAGCCUGUGAAACCCAUGGAUACUAGUCAAAACGCACGCGACAACGCGAAAAGUGGUAGAAAUUACCGGCAUUCCACCUCAAGAAUUUGGUUUGUUACUACAGAGUCGAUAUUAUGGAGGAAGGCGAAUCAGCGUCCUACCGGCUUCGGUUUACAAUGGAAUACUGCAGCGGCAAAGGUGCAGAAGCUUAUGACUGAGGUCACAGGACACCAAUGCCUGCUCGUUUUCGGCAACGAUGUACAAUGGAAUGCAGAUUCACGGAGGGCCUGCACGAUAUGCACGAUCGAAACCACAUUCACUGCGAUAAUAAACCAAUAAAUAUCUUUGUAUACCGGCACAAACGCGGCCAUCACAAUUCACAAGCUGAUAAUCACAAGCUGAUUAGCAAUUUGGAUGACUUUCUGCAGCUGUGAUAUCACGGUAUGUUGGGAAAUGAGAACACACACGUGAGAGAAGCAUGGCGGCACAUGUCGCCGGAAGUCGCACAGAAAUUCUUUUGAAGCUUGUAUAAACAUCAGGACGUCAUGUUGGGGCCCGCUGCGGAUAUCUGGAGUCUGAGCUAUAUUAUCCACGACUUUGUCAAACGACAAACGGUAUUAUGGAGUUAGUAAGGCAUCGGAGGAAAUUGAAUUUCAAUAUACAAGAAAGCUCAUCGAUGGCUAUGCGCCGACUGUUGACAGACUUAUUACAAAUCAAUCGUUGGUGAAUCUGCUUGUGAGAUGCUUGUCGGGGGACAGCUUCGAUCGGCCCACCGCCCGUCAGUUAAGGAACGCACUGCUGAAAAUCUGGACAGACGUUAUUCCUAAUUCCGAAUUGGCAGAACGUGCAGAUUUCUUGCGCUGCUCUGGUAAUUAGGCACAGCCCGCUGUCGAGCCAUCCGUCAUCACACCCGGCAAAAUCGGAAUUUCGGAAUUUCUUCUACGAUCGAAUCCGUGGGCGGGUUUGUGGAAUGCAGGCAAAGAUAGUCCAUCCCAUCCGCCAAAAAUGGGAUCAGUUUUACCCAGCGCGAGGUACUCGGCCUGGUGCUUGUUGUUGACAUAGCCAUAGGGCAGGAUGGGUAAAGCAGCAUGUCCUGCAAUGAAAGCAACGAAGAUCAAAGGGCACAUGUUGCAACGGUAGUAUACCUGCAACACGUGCGAUAUGUAUGCAUCAGCAAUGUACUCUAAAAGGAAUGCGCCGCGCACUGGCCUUAUAUGGGUGCUGUCCGCAGUACCCAACCCAGAUCGGUUACCGAAGUAAUGGAUGUGAUCUCAUUAUUUCGUGAAGUUCCUGAUCGAUAUUUUUGUUCAUGCACGUGAUUAAGUGCAGAACUGGCUGAUGACGUGAAGACACGCACACAGGAGAGAAAGCAAGAAGAAUUCAUGAAGUCAUGGGAAAUACCAUGGAAUUUUCUUACGAUCUAGAUUGUCGCGGAGAAGAAAGACAGCGAAACCGUUUAUUCUGUUGGGUACUGAUUGAUCGUUGUAGAUUAUAAGCCAUAAUUAACAAAUUAAGCGCUGGGGAGCGUCGUCGACAAAUUGGAUCGUCGGCUUCGCGGUGUAGGUUAUCGAUGGCGGCCAGGUAAACUUUGGCAGUAUUUACGCUGGCGCCUUCAUCAUGUAAGCUGGCGAUGAAUCGGGCGACUGUGGUAGGAUGUGCUGGCAGUGGAAUAAGACGGUGUGUGGCGCAGAAGUUGGUAAAGCGCGUUGCGCCGGCACGGUUUGUCGAAGAUCGUCGAAGAUGUUCGGGCACGGCGUUGGAUGAGCGGCUGCUAGCGGUGCGAGACGUCGGAAACGGGAAACCUGGAAACGAGAUAGUGCAUCAGUUAUGCCGUUGUCCACACAUAUGACGUGUUUGAGCGUAAAAGUCAUGUUGUUAUCCGCGGCUGCAGCCGACAUGGGGCCCGACGCAGGCCCAUGCUCAAACUCGGACUUGGACUCGGACUUGGACUACUAAAACUUGGACUUGGACUUCACUUGGACUCUAAAACUUGGACUUCACUUGGACUCUAAAAUUCGGACUUCACUUGGGCUCUAAAACUCGGACUUCACUUGGACUCUAAAACUCGGACCUUACUUGGACUCUAAAACUUGGACUUUAUGACCUGGACUUGGAAUUAGGCGUUCCUUAUGUUUCUCAUGCCUUCUUACGUCUCUUCAUGUUUUCUUAGGUUUCUUAGGUUUUUAGGUAUUCUUAGGUUUCUUAGGUUUUCUGAGGUUUUCUUAGGUUUCUCAGGUUUCUUAGGUUUUUUAGGUUUCUUAGGCUUCUUGGGUUCCUUAGGUUUUUCAGGUUUCUUAGGUUUCUUAGGUUUUUUAGGUUUUUUAGGUGUUCUUAGGUUUUUAGGUCUCUUAGGUUUCUUAGGUUUCUUAGGUUUCUUAGGUUUCUUAGGUUCCUUAGGUUUCUCAGAAUACCAAGGAAUACCUAGAUAACCUAAUAAAUGUUAGUAACCUCAGAAACCUAAGAACACCCAACAAACCUAAGAAACCUGAGAAAACAUGAAGAAACGUAAGAAGACAUGAGAAACGCCUAAAUCCAAGUCUAAGUCAUAAAGUCCGAGUUUUAGAGUCCAAGCGAAGUCCGAGUUUUAGAGUCCAAGCAAAGUCCGAGUUUUAGAGUCCAAUUGAAGUCCAAGUUUUAGAGUCCAAGUGAAGUCCAAGUCCAAGUUUUAGUAGUCCAAGUCCGAGUCCAAGUCCGAGCUUGAGCGCGGGCCUGCGACGCAUGAGGUGUAGCACGCCUGGAUUGGUGGAUUUCAGACUCUCCCACACCAGCGUCGCGCCCUCGACGACGACAAAUUGAGCGCUGGGGAGUGAAAUCCAUAAGUACAUGCUAAACCAGGUUAUUUGGCUAAAGUGGGUAAUUACCGCAUCAACGUAUCUGGAUAUCCAGAAACUACAUAAUUAUUGCAUGGUGUUCAGCAUGCCAAGACCUGCCAGGACCUGGAAAUUGGAAAAUAAACUCAGCUGCUUCUUGUUGGCCCGACUAGACGCUUCAGAAACAACGCUUUAAUACAGCUUUUAUAUACGUAAAACAAGUCUUGUAUUUGCCUGCAAUCCGCACUACACUUGGAAAACGAUUUUUCUUACCAUGUAAACACAUUUUGCUGCCGCCUUCUUUUUUCGGGUAAUCAGUCUCCUAAUGGGCACAAUUGCGUUUUACGUGUUCUUUGGUGUAAGAACGACCUGUCUUCCUUCCACUGAUUAGGUUUUUACCAACUGAAACUACAUUUUAAUCUACUUACAUGUUUUGUAAUUUAUUUGUGUUAGAAGUUGUGCAAAGUGCCUCGGAGGCAAAGUGGCUCGGUGGACAUUUCC